UACGGAGGGUGCAAGCGUUGUCCGGAUUUAUUGGGUUUAAAGGGUGCGUAGGCGGUUCUAUAAGUCAGUGUUUAAAGUCUGCAGCUUAACUGUAGGAAUGGCAUUGAUACUGUAGAACUUGAGUAAAGUUGAGGUAGACAGAAUUGAUGGUGUAGCGGUGAAAUGCAUAGAUAUCAUCAAGAAUACCGAUUGCGAAGGCAGUUUACUAAACUUUAACUGACGCUGAGGCACGAAAGUGUGGGGAUCAAACAGG
rnacentral:rRNA from 1 species